rnacentral:rRNA from 1 species
UACGUAGGGUGCAAGCGUUAAUCGGAAUUACUGGGCGUAAAGCGUGCGCAGGCGGUUAUGUAGGACAGGUGGGAAAUCCCCGGGCUUAACCUGGGAACUGCAUUUGUGACUGCAUAGCUAGAGUACGGUAGAGGGGGAUGGAAUUCCGCGUGUAGCAGUGAAAUGCGUAGAUAUGCGGAGGAACACCGAUGGCGAAGGCAAUCCCCUGGACCUGUACUGACGCUCAUGCACGAAAGCGUGGGGAGCAAACAGG